rnacentral:snRNA from 1 species
AUACUAAACCCUAAGGAGAU